rnacentral:rRNA from 1 species
AUUGAACGCUGGCGGCAGGCCUAACACAUGCAAGUCGAACGAGUGGCGGACGGGAGGGUAAUGUCUGGGAAACUGCCCGAGGGAGGGGGAUAGCUACUGGAAACUGUAGCUACUUACGCAUACCUUCGGCUGGGCCCGGAUGGGAUUAGCUAGUGGGGGGGGUAAGGGCUAACCUCGGCGACGAACCCUAGCUGGUCUGAGAGGAUGACCAGACACACGGGAACUGAGACACGGGCCAGACUCCUACGGGAGGCAGCAGUGGGGAAUAUUGCACAAUGGGCGAAAGCCUGAUUCAGCCAUGCCGCGUGUGUGAAGAAGGCCUUCGGGUUGUAAAGUACUUUAAGUGAGGAGGCGUUACUCGCAGAAGAAGCACCGGCUAACUCCGUGCCAGCAGCCGCGGUAAUUC